rnacentral:rRNA from 1 species
GACGAACGCUGGCGGCGUGCCUAAUACAUGCAAGUAGAACGCUGAAGAGAGGAGCUUGCUCUUCUUGGAUGAGUUGCGAACGGGUGAGUAACGCGUAGGUAACCUGCCUUGUAGCGGGGGAUAACUAUUGGAAACGAUAGCUAAUACCGCAUAACAAUGGAUGACACAUGUCAUUUAUUUGAAAGGGGCAAUUGCUCCACUACAAGAUGGACCUGCGUUGUAUUAGCUAGUAGGUGAGGUAAUGGCUCACCUAGGCGACGAUACAUAGCCGACCUGAGAGGGUGAUCGGCCACACUGGGACUGAGACACGGCCCAGACUCCUACGGGAGGCAGCAGUAGGGAAUCUUCGGCAAUGGGGGCAACCCUGACCGAGCAACGCCGCGUGAGUGAAGAAGGUUUUCGGAUCGUAAAGCUCUGUUGUAAGUCAAGAACGGGUGUGAGAGUGGAAAGUUCACACUGUGACGGUAGCUUACCAGAAAGGGACGGCUAACUACGUGCCAGCAGCCGCGGUAAUACGUAGGUCCCGAGCGUUGUCCGGAUUUAUUGGGCGUAAAGCGAGCGCAGGCGGUUUGAUAAGUCUGAAGUUAAAGGCUGUGGCUCAACCAUAGUUCGCUUUGGAAACUGUCAAACUUGAGUGCAGAAGGGGAGAGUGGAAUUCCAUGUGUAGCGGUGAAAUGCGUAGAUAUAUGGAGGAACACCGGUGGCGAAAGCGGCUCUCUGGUCUGUAACUGACGCUGAGGCUCGAAAGCGUGGGGAGCGAACAGGAUUAGAUACCCUGGUAGUCCACGCCGUAAACGAUGAGUGCUAGGUGUUGGAUCCUUUCCGGGAUUCAGUGCCGCAGCUAACGCAUUAAGCACUCCGCCUGGGGAGUACGACCGCAAGGUUGAAACUCAAAGGAAUUGACGGGGGCCCGCACAAGCGGUGGAGCAUGUGGUUUAAUUCGAAGCAACGCGAAGAACCUUACCAGGUCUUGACAUCCCGAUGCUAUUUCUAGAGAUAGAAAGUUACUUCGGUACAUCGGUGACAGGUGGUGCAUGGUUGUCGUCAGCUCGUGUCGUGAGAUGUUGGGUUAAGUCCCGCAACGAGCGCAACCCCUAUUGUUAGUUGCCAUCAUUCAGUUGGGCACUCUAGCGAGACUGCCGGUAAUAAACCGGAGGAAGGUGGGGAUGACGUCAAAUCAUCAUGCCCCUUAUGACCUGGGCUACACACGUGCUACAAUGGUUGGUACAACGAGUUGCGAGUCGGUGACGGCGAGCUAAUCUCUUAAAGCCAAUCUCAGUUCGGAUUGUAGGCUGCAACUCGCCUACAUGAAGUCGGAAUCGCUAGUAAUCGCGGAUCAGCACGCCGCGGUGAAUACGUUCCCGGGCCUUGUACACACCGCCCGUCACACCACGAGAGUUUGUAACACCCGAAGUCGGUGAGGUAACCUUUUGGAGCCAGCCGCCUAAGGUGGGACAGAUGAUUGGGGUGAAGUCGAUCA